UAGGGAAUAUUGGACAAUGGAGGCAACCCUGAUCCAGCCAUGCCGCGUGAGUGAAGAAGGCCCUCGGGUUGUAAAGCUCUUUUGUCCGGAAAGAAAAGCUUCGGGUUAAUACCCCGGGGUUCUGACGGUACCGGAAGAAUAAGCACCGGCUAACUUCGUGCCAGCAGCCGCGGUAAUACGCAGGGUGCAAGCGUUACUCGGAAUUACUGGGCGUAAAGCGUGCGUAGGUGGUUGUUUGAGUCUGAUGUGAAAGCCCUGGGCUCAACCUGGGAAUGGCAGUGGAAACUGGGCAGCUAGAGUGCGGUAGAGGGUAGUGGAAUUCCCGGUGUAGCAGUGAAAUGCGUAGAGAUCGGGAGGAACAGCUGUGGCGAAGGCGACUGCCUGGACCAGCACUGACACUGAGGCACGAAAGCGUGGGGAGCAAACA
rnacentral:rRNA from 1 species